rnacentral:rRNA from 1 species
AUGCACGCUGGCGGCGUGCCUAAUACAUGCAAGUCGCGCGAACAGACGAGGAGCUUGCUUCUCUGACGUUAGCGGCGGACGGGUGAGUAACACGUGGAUAACCUACCUAUAAGACUGGGAUAACUUCGGGAAACCGGAGCUAAUACCGGAUAAUAUAUUGAACCGCAUGGUUCAAUAGUGAAAGACGGUUUUGCUGUCACUUAUAGAUGGAUCCGCGCCGCAUUAGCUAGUUGGUAAGGUAACGGCUUACCAAGGCAACGAUGCGUAGCCGACCUGAGAGGGUGAUCGGCCACACUGGAACUGAGACACGGUCCAGACUCCUACGGGAGGCAGCAGUAGGGAAUCUUCCGCAAUGGGCGAAAGCCUGACGGAGCAACGCCGCGUGAGUGAUGAAGGUCUUCGGAUCGUAAAACUCUGUUAUUAGGGAAGAACAAAUGUGUAAGUAACUAUGCACGUCUUGACGGUACCUAAUCAGAAAGCCACGGCUAACUACGUG